GUGUGUAUUUGUGGAAGAGGGGAGUUGUAAAUGAGGGCAUGUGAUCAGACACACAGGUAGCAAAUAGUGUGUAGGAGGAUGGCUGCACUGCAGCAGCAGGUUUUUGUCGUGAAGUAACUUGAGGUGAUCUGAUGAAAAAAGUCCUGAACUACAAUCCUGAACCAUUAAGGAGGCUCAUCUUAGACAACAACAGAACAUGGAAAAAAUAAGUCUGCAGGGGAGAAGAAGCUGGAGGAGAAAUUGACAAGAAGCCAGAGAAGGCUCCAGGGAAGCAGGAAGAUGGACCAUAGAGGCAGAAGAAGAGCCACCCAGCUGAGCUGAUAAAUCUGUCACUCCCAGGCCCAGGACAGGGCAGGGAAAGCCCUAGAGGCUUGGGAGGUGAAGAAGCCUUGGGGUCAUUGGUGGACUGAGGAAGGUGGGGGCCAGAGUGUGUGGGGAGAAAGGAGGAAUUCAGGUGAAGGGAGAAGGGAAACUCAGGGGCCAGGAAUAAGCAGGGUGGGAAUUAGAAGGAUGGGGAAGCACUUCCAGAGGUCUGGGGUUAAGGGGGAGAGUUACAGUGUUGGGGAGCCCCAGGAGUUUCUGCUACACCCAACUUGUCCUAAAAUUCACCAGCCACCACAGGGUUUUGAUCACACUUCUUUAUUCUUACUAGUACAAAAUCAGGACAUGGACUUCAUUGUGUAAACAUUAAAUGUUCAGUUUAAAUAUUAAACAAACCUGAUUGUUUAACUUAAUAUUAAAAUUCACUGAAAACUGGCUCCCCUACUGCCUGUUUCACA